GAGGGGAAGGGAGCUGUCGUGGGGGAGGGGACGGAGUGGGAGGCGGCCGUGAAACCGAGCCCCCAACCAGGAAAUGGGAGGCCAAGGGAUUAGCCGAGAUGACAGAUUGGAAGGAGAAGGUGGAAUAUGGAGCCUUGAUGAUGCCUUCUACAUUGACUGAUUCCUCCAGACAGAGAUAUGGCAGUUAUGAUGGACAGGAACAUGUAAAUCUUCACUGAGUAUGAAAUAACAAUUAGAAAAUAAAGGAGUGAAACAAACAAAAGGAGAAGACAAACAGAAACAUAAGAGAAAUGAUACUGAUGUUAGUAGAAUACUAUUAGCUUGUCUGUCUGUAUUUCUGUAUUAUAUGUUGCCAGCAGGAGUGGUGAGGUGAUUAUCCCCUGGUGAGGCUGCACCUUGAGUACUGUGUUCAGUUUUGGGCCCCUCACUACCAGAAAUAUACAUUGAGUCCCUGGAGUGUGUGCAGAGAAAGGCAGUAAAACUGGUGAGGGGUUUGGAGCACAAGUCUUAUGAGGAGCGAUAGAGGGAACUGGGAUAGUUUAAUACGGAGAAGAGGAGGCUCAGGGGACACCUUAUAGGUACUUACAGCUACGUGAAAGGAGGUUGUGACAAGGUUGAGGUUAGCCUGUUCUCUCACAUAACCAGCAAUAGGAUGAGAGGGAAUGGCCUCAGAUUGCACCAGAGGAGGUUCAGGGUGGAUAUUAGGAAAAACCUCUUCUCCAAAACAGUGGUCAGCUGGUGGAAUGGGAUGCCCAUGGAGGUGGUUGAGUCACUGUCCCUGGAGGUGUUCAAGAAAUGCCUAGAUGUUGUACUAAGGGACAUGGUUUAGUGGGGAAAUGGUGGUGGUAGGUGGAUAGUUGGACUCGAUGAUCUUGGUCCUUUCCAACCUUGGUGAUUCUAUGAUUCUGUGUUUCUAUAUGAAGUACUGCUUUCAGGUGUGAUGCUUAUGUCUCAAACAGGCACACAAUUACAGAAAUUUGAGUUCAGAAAUAUCUGAAAAUACUGAUGAAAAAAAAACGAAAGUUUGGGAAUGUUCUGUUUAGCAAGUAAUAUGUGACAACAGCUAUUAAAAGCUAUGAAAAAAUACUGAAUGGCACAGAGAUUUCAGGCUUUCCAUUUGUCCUUUGAAAAAAUGUGUCAAGGGCAUAUUGUGAAAACUGAAUGUCAUGCAAUGUGAAUGUACUGAAUUACAGCAGUCAGGAAGCCUAAUGGGGUUUGUAGUCUCUGUAUUAGAACUGCCUGUUGCAGCCCAUCCUCCAUAUGAUGUGAAAGAAGCUGCCCCAGUACACCACCUUCCUAUGACAAUGGCAGCUCACUCAGACCUGAAGAAUUAAAUAUAUGUGAUUUCUGUAUCACUUAACAGAAAUCAGUUCCACAAGUUCAUAACGUAUCUUUUUUAUUUUGCUGAGUUUAUUUAUACUCCAGGCAUUACAUUGCAGUCUCUGUUUAUCUCACAAGAUAGACCAAUUUUGAGCUUUUUUCCAUUACAUUUCCAUUCAAAUUGUGAAAUGAGAAAAAAUUUCUAAUUAUUUUAUUAAAUCCCCUCAUGGCAGUCUGAAUUUCUGGCACUAGAUAUAUUCUAUGGAUCUUUUGUUUAGCAUUUUAGAAUUGCCAUUUUAGUAUAAACUUUGCUGCUACCUGUGAAGAAGAUAUUUUCAGGGAGCAGUGGCUGAGGAGCCAUGCCAGAAGCAACCGUCUAGCCUGACUCACUGCCACAGUGCUGAAAGCAAAUUUGUGAGGCCUCGGAUUUAGAGCUCCCUCCCUCUUCAAUUCUUUUGUUGUAAAAGCUUUCCCAAAUUUUUCAGACAUUAGAAUUUUACUGUAAAGUACAAAGAACUGUGGCCAUAAAUUCUUUUCAUAAUUCAUGAGCCCACUUUAUAGCUUUUCUAAACUGUAGAAUUUUAUUCCUGGUUUUUAGUAUGUGAUAAACUUUCCUGUCUUUCUGUUCCCUGUUUAUCACUACCACCAGCACCAGUUGGUCAAAUUGUGGUCUGAUUCAUUAGAAAAGAGGUACCCUCUUUUAUCAGAUGUAUGGAAAAGAAUAAAUUUGUUUGUGAAGAGACUGUGAGUUUAAGCUGAAAGUACAUUUAAUAUUAUCAAGCAUAGAACGCUAAUAUUUUAUACUCUCAACUGUGCUGCUGAAAGCAACAUCUUUUAUAUAUUCCACUUCUGCAUGUGCCCUCUCUAGCUAUUUAAUAUUUAAUAGUGCAAUGCAGUUACAAAUAAAGGUGUGAAUUUCCCCUGC